UGACUUGGGUCAGGAGAGUAUAACCCCUGAACUUUCGCUCUCAAGACCCCAGAGAGAAUCAUUACGAGUUACA
rnacentral:rRNA from 1 species